GACGAACGCUGGCGGCGUGCUUAACACAUGCAAGUCGAGCGGCAGCGGGUUCCCGCGAGGGGAUGCCGGCGAGCGGCGGACGGGUGAGGAACACAUCGGAAUCUGCCUGGUUGUGGGGGAUAACGUAGGGAAACUUACGCUAAUACCGCAUGCGACUCUGAGUCGACGGACUGGGGGUGAAAGUGAGGGACCUUCGGGCCGUCACGCGACCAGAUGAGCCGAUGUCGGAUUAGCUAGUUGGCGGGGUAACGGCCCGCCAAGGCGACGAUCCGUAGCUGGUCUGAGAGGAUGAUCAGCCACACUGGGACUGAGACACGGCCCAGACUCCUACGGGAGGCAGCAGUGGGGAAUCUUGGACAAUGGGCGCAAGCCUGAUCCAGCCAUG
rnacentral:rRNA from 1 species